rnacentral:rRNA from 1 species
GAACCGUGCGAACGUUGUUCGGAUUCACUGGGCUUAAAGGGCGCGUAGGCGGCCGUCCCAGUCCGGGGUGAAAUCUUUCGGCUCAACCGGAAAAUGGCCUUGGAUACUGGACGGCUCGAGGGAGGUAGGGGCAACCGGAACGGCCAGUGGAGCGGUGAAAUGCGUUGAUAUUGGCAGGAACGCCGGUGGCGAAAGCGGGUUGCUGGAUCUCUCCUGACGCUGAGGCGCGAAAGCUAGGGUAGCAAACGGGAUUAGAUACCCCGGUAGUCCUAGCCCUAAACGAUGGGUACUAGGUUGCGGACUUGACAUGGGUUCGCAGCCGAAGCAAAAGUGCUAAGUACCCCGCCUGGGGAGUAUGGUCGCAAGGCUGAA